rnacentral:misc_RNA from 1 species
UUUCCGUAGGUGAACCUGCGGAAGGAUCAUUAUUGUGUAACCGAGGUGCGAGGGCUGUCGCUGACCCGAAAGGUCGUGCACGCCCGAGUGCCCUCACACACAUCCAUCUCACCCCUAUGUGCACCACCGCGUGGGUCCCCCUUUGGCUUGUUCGGAGGGGGGCUUACGUUUUCACACAAACUUUGUAUGCAUUGUAGAAUGUAUUUUUUGUUUUUGCGAUCACGCAAUCAAUACAACUUUCAACAACGGAUCUCUUGGCUCUC